rnacentral:rRNA from 1 species
GGAGGGUGCAAGCGUUAAUCGGGAAUUACUGGGGCGUAAAGCGCACGCAGGCGGUUUGUUAAGUCAGAUGUGAAAGCCUCGGGGCUCAACCUGGGAACUGCAUUUGAUACUGGCAAACUAGAGUAUGGGAGAGAGAAGUGGAAUUCCACAUGUAGCGGUGAAAUGCGUAGAGAUGUGGAGGAACAUCAGUGGCGAAGGCGACUUCUUGGCCCAAUACUGACGCUCAGGUGCGAAAGCGUGGGGAGCAAACAGGAUUAGAUACCCUGGUAGUCCACGCCGUAAACGAUGUCUACUAGCCGUUGGGGGGCUUGACCCCUUAGUGGCGCAGCUAACGCCUUAAGUAGACCGCCUGGGGAGUACGGCCGCAAAGGUUA